GAGUUGAAGUCAUCGCAAUGCUUGGGGUUUUUGGGCUGUUGGUCUGCGCAACUGAGAUAGCUAUUUUUGAAGAAAAAAUCUCCCAAGAGGUGAAGUGGUCGCCCACGAUGAUGAGUGGAGCCACUUUGUUCAAUCUCUCCCUUCUAACGUCCGACAUGUGGCAGUGCUCAUCCGCAUCUUCUUUUACCGUCA